rnacentral:rRNA from 1 species
CUAUCAGCUUGUUGGUGGGGUAAUGGCCUACCAAGGCGACGACGGGUAGCCGGCCUGAGAGGGUGACCGGCCACACUGGGACUGAGACACGGCCCAGACUCCUACGGGAGGCAGCAGUGGGGAAUAUUGCACAAUGGGCGCAAGCCUGAUGCAGCGACGCCGCGUGAGGGAUGACGGCCUUCGGGUUGUAAACCUCUUUCAGUAGGGAAGAAGCCGUAAGGUGACGGUACCUGCAGAAGAAGCGCCGGCUAACUACGUGCCAGCAGCCGCGGUAAUACGUAGGGCGCAAGCGUUAUCCGGAAUUAUUGGGCGUAAAGAGCUCGUAGGCGGUUUGUCGCGUCUGCCGUGAAAGUCCGGGGCUCAACUCCGGAUCUGCGGUGGGUACGGGCAGGCUAGAGUGAUGUAGGGGAGACUGGAAUUCCUGGUGUAGCGGUGAAAUGCGCAGAUAUCAGGAGGAACACCGAUGGCGAAGGCAGGUCUCUGGGCAUUAACUGACGCUGAGGAGCGAAAGCAUGGGGAGCGAACAGGAUUAGAUACCCUGGUAGUCCAUGCCGUAAACGUUGGGCACUAGGUGUGGGGGACAUUCCACGUUUUCCGCGCCGUAGCUAACGCAUUAAGUGCCCCGCCUGGGGAGUACGGCCGCAAGGCUAAAACUCAAAGGAAUUGACGGGGGCCCGCACAAGCGGCGGAGCAUGCGGAUUAAUUCGAUGCAACGCGAAGAACCUUACCAAGGCUUGACAUGAACCAGACCGGGCUGGAAACAGUCCUUCCCCUUUGGGGUUGGUUUACAGGUGGUGCAUGGUUGUCGUCAGCUCGUGUCGUGAGAUGUUGGGUUAAGUCCCGCAACGAGCGCAACCCUCGUUCUAUGUUGCCAGCGGUUCGGCCGGGGACUCAUAGGAGACUGCCGGGGUCAACUCGGAGGAAGGUGGGGACGACGUCAAAUCAUCAUGCCCCUUAUGUCUUGGGCUUCACGCAUGCUACAAUGGCCGGUACAAAGGGUUGCGAUACUGUGAGGUGGAGCUAAUCCCAAAAAGCCGGUCUCAGUUCGGAUUGGGGUCUGCAACUCGACCCCAUGAAGUCGGAGUCGCUAGUAAUCGCAGAUCAGCAACGCUGCGGUGAAUACGUUCCCGGGCCUUGUACACACCGCCCGUCAA